GCGGAUAUGGUGAAGCGGUUUAACACUCCGGACUGUGAAUCCGGCAUGCACGAGUUCGAACCUCGCUAUCCGCC
rnacentral:tRNA from 1 species